AGGUGCCACGCGCACACCGCGGUUUUGGGCGCGCCGUCCGCAAGCAUCCGGCGCCUGCUCGCCAGGUGUCAUCAGCC
rnacentral:sRNA from 1 species